CCCCCCCCCCCCCACACACACACACACACGCGCGCGGACGGUCCAUAUCUCUUAUGCUAAUUAAUUUUGGGUUGCUGGGUUUUUCUUCAGUGGCCUCGGGGUCUGCUUUUUUGCGGCCCUCCCGGCACCGGAAAGAGAAGCUUGGUACGAGCAGUGGUUAGGGAAUGUGGUAUAGCACAUUUAAUUGUCAUUAGUCCACAUUCUGUCCACAAAGCACAUGCCGGAGAAAGUGAGAAUUUUGAGGGGAGAUUUUUGCGAAGGCUUCCUCGCAUACAUUGUCAGGCAAGCCAUCUGUUAUCUUUAUAGAUGAAAUAGAUGCACUCUGUCCUCGCAGUGAUUCUAGAAGAGAACAAGAUGUUCGUAGCGCCUUGCAACUCUUUACGUUGAUGGACUCUAGACAUCCCCAACAUCAGUACCACGGGUUGUGGUUGUUGCACCACUAACAGGAAACUAGACAUGUAGUGUAUAUAUUCCAAGACUCUUGAUAACAAAUGCGUUUAACAGGUUUAACGUUAGCGCCACUUGUGAAGGUAGAUCCAAACCUAAAUGUAGUUGUGCCUGCAUUUCUCUGUUAGACUGAGUCGUGUUUCCUCUUCCAUUACAAACUCUUAAGUUUGUUCACGAAGUCAAUGGUCUUUUCUAAUAAGCUUUUCUGUUUUAUUUAUUUGUUUUUCAAGGGUAUGUUUGUAAUCAGUUUGGUUGUACCGUGUAAUCAGGUUGUGAAUUUUUGAAAUUUUGAAUUGA